rnacentral:tRNA from 1 species
GCCUGGGUGGCUCAGUCGGUUGAGCAUCCGACUUUGGCUCAGUUCAUGGUCUCACGGUUCGUGGGUUCAAGCCCCGCAUCAGGCU